rnacentral:rRNA from 1 species
UACGGGGGGGGCAAGCGUUGUUCGGAAUUACUGGGCGUAAAGGGCUCGUAGGCGGCCAACUAAGUCAGACGUGAAAUCCCCAGGCUCAACCUGGGAACUGCGUCUGAUACUGGAUGGCUGGAGUUUGGGAGAGGGAUGCGGAAUUCCAGGUGUAGCGGUGAAAUGCGUAGAUAUCUGGAGGAACACCGGUGGCGAAGGCGGCAUCCUGGACCAAUACUGACGCUGAGGAGCGAAAGCCAGGGGAGCAAACGGG